rnacentral:rRNA from 1 species
GAUUAACGCUGGCGGCGUGCAUAACACAUGCAAGUCGAACGAUGAAACUUAAAUGAUUUCUUCGGAAUGAACUUAAGUGGAUUAGUGGCGGACGGGUGAGUAACGCGUGAGUAACCUGCCUUACACAUGGGGAUAGCCGUUGGAAACGACGAAUAAUACCCUAUGAAACUAUCACUUCGCAUGAAGCGAUAGUCAAAGUGUUAGCGGUGUAAGAUGGACUUGCGUCUGAUUAGCUAGUUGGUGAGAAAAAAGCCCACCAAGGCAACGAUCAGUAGCCGGCUUGAGAGCGUGUACGGCCACAUUGGGACUGAGACACGGCCCAGACUCCUACGGGAGGCAGCAGUGGGGAAUUAUGCACAAUGCGGGAAACUCUGAUGCAGCGACGCCGCGUAAUUUAGAAGGCCUUCGGGUUGUAAAAAUCUUUUGUAUAGGAAGAAAAUGACAGUACUAUACGAAUAAGGUCCGGCUAAUUACGUG